rnacentral:lncRNA from 1 species
GCGCGCAGCCCCGGUUCCGGCCCGCGCCUCUCCCUCCACACCUCCCCACAAGCUGAGGGAGCCGGCUGCGGCCUUCGCCAGCCCAGAAAGGGGCUCCUACAGUGCAGUGGCGGGCUGAAGGGCUGCUCAAGCGCCGCCAAAGUGGGAGCCCAGGCAGAGGAGGCGCCCAGAGCGAGCGAGGGCUGUGAGGACUGCCAGCACGCUGUCACCUCUCACUCAUAUAGAUUGCCAAUCUAUUUGUGAACCAGGUUUGCUGGAGUUUGGAUUUACUACUGAGUCAUAUUUGGAGCAUGCUGGAAUCUUACAACUGAGAUUACCGAGUCAGAAACUAGUUUGACUGUUCUCGUCGGCAUGGUUGAGACAUUAUCCCUGGCAGAAGGCUGGACUGGCAUGGACAUCAUUUGAUGAGUUCGUCUCCUCUUAACAAUCAAAGCCUGUUUUCCAGUGCGAAUAAACUGUUGCCUUAUAUAUUGUUUUCCCAUUUUUAUAGUUGUUUACUGCAAAAAAGAGUCUGGUACAAGUUACUUUGCUAAAACCUUGAUAAAGUUUUAUUCUACGAUUCUUCAAUCAAUGUUUCUGUUUUGUUUAUUCUGUUAUCUCUGUUGUGUCAUACCAUAAUUCUCUCAUUAAUAGCUCAUAUUCUUUUUCAUAGCUAUUCAAUUCUUUAGCAGUUUCUACUUUUAUGUUUGGGAGAAAAUUGAAAGCUUGAUUUCUUAUUUUGACAAGUUUUCUAAAGGUUUCAGCAUGCAAUAUUUUUUUUCAUAGCCUUACAGUUUGUAAUAGUUCAUCUGAUUGUAAAGCUCUUACAAUCUUUCCUGAUUUUAAGUCAUUUUAACAACGACUUUCUCUCUUUUUUAUUUUUAAGAAACAAUGUCCUCCUUUUCAUUUGUUGAGAACUCUACUCAGCUUUUAAAAAACUUCCUGUGUAUGUACCUUAAUUCUUUUGACAAUAAAACAUUACUCUGAAUAUUCAAA